rnacentral:rRNA from 1 species
CUGCAGCUCAAGUGGUGAUCAUUAUUAUUGGGCCUAAAACGUCCGUAGCCGGUUUAGUAAAUGCCUGGUUAAAUCGUGUAGCUUAACUAUACGACUUCCGGGUAGACUACUAAACUUGAGACCGGGAGAGGCUAGAGGUACUCCUGGGGUAGAGGUGAAAUUCUGUAAUCCUGGGGGGACCACCAGUGGCGAAGGCAUCUAGCUAGAACGGGUCUGACGGUGAGGAACGAAGCCCUGGGGCGCAAACCGGAUUAGAUACCCGAGUAGUCC